AUUGAACGCUGGCGGCAGGCCUAACACAUGCAAGUCGAACGGUAACAGGAAGAAGCUUGCUUCUUUGCUGACGAGUGGCGGACGGGUGAGUAAUGUCUGGGAAACUGCCUGAUGGAGGGGGAUAACUACUGGAAACGGUAGCUAAUACCGCAUAACGUCGCAAGACCAAAGAGGGGGACCUUCGGGCCUCUUGCCAUCGGAUGUGCCCAGAUGGGAUUAGCUAGUAGGUGGGGUAACGGCUCACCUAGGCGACGAUCCCUAGCUGGUCUGAGAGGAUGACCAGCCAAACUGGAACUGAGACACGGUCCAGACUCCUACGGGAGGCAGCAGUGGGGAAUAUUGCACAAUGGGCGCAAGCCUGAUGCAGCCAUGCCGCGUGUAUGAAGAAGGCCUUCGGGUUGUAAAGUACUUUCAGCGGGGAGGAAGGGAGUAAAGUUAAUACCUUUGCUCAUUGACGUUACCCGCAGAAGAAGCACCGGCUAACUCCGUG
rnacentral:rRNA from 1 species